AGCAGCCACCCUUUAAAGAAAGCGUAAUAGCUCACUAGUCGAGUCGGCCUGCGCGGAAGAUGUAACGGGGCUCAAACCAUACACCGAAGCUACGGGUAUCACCUUCGGGUGAUGCGGUAGAGGAGCGUUCUGUAAGCCUGUGAAGGUGAGUUGAGAAGCUUGCUGGAGGUAUCAGAAGUGCGAAUGCUGACAUAAGUAACGAUAAAGCGGGUGAAAAACCCGCUCGCCGGAAGACCAAGGGUUCCUGUCCAACGUUAAUCGGGGCAGGGUGAGUCGACCCCUAAGGCGAGG
rnacentral:rRNA from 14 species